rnacentral:piRNA from 1 species
UGGUUAAGCCUUUUGUUUGCUCAGCAGC